AGAUUGAACGCUGGCGGCAGGCCUAACACAUGCAAGUCGAGCGGUAGAGAGGUGCUUGCAUCUCUUGAGAGCGGCGGACGGGUGAGUAAUGCCUAGGAAUCUGCCUAGUGGUGGGGGAUAACGUUCGGAAACGGACGCUAAUACCGCAUACGUCCUACGGGAGAAAGCGGGGGACCUUCGGGCCUCGCGCCAUUAGAUGAGCCUAGGUCGGAUUAGCUAGUUGGUGAGGUAAUGGCUCACCAAGGCGACGAUCCGUAACUGGUCUGAGAGGAUGAUCAGUCACACUGGAACUGAGACACGGUCCAGACUCCUACGGGAGGCAGCAGUGGGGAAUAUUGGACAA
rnacentral:rRNA from 1 species